ACAGUUACAUCUUACACCCGCCUA
rnacentral:siRNA from 1 species